rnacentral:lncRNA from 1 species
GCUCCUCUCCCCGCGUGCGCUCCUCUCCUUUCCUCACCAGCCCCCGCGCGCAACUCCUCCCUUCCCCACAUCGCGCGCGCGCCAGGCGCGGGCCCGGUGCCAACUGCUCUCGCUCCUUUCCCCAAUCGCGCGCACGCGUCAGGCGCGGGCCCGCCGCCGGCCGCUCUCGCAUCCCCGCGCCGCUUCUCCUCCAACCCUCUCCCCCCGGCGCUUCUUCUCCAAUCCACCCCCCUCUAGCACUUCUCCUCCCCCUCCCCCCCCAAUCUUUGUUUCAUCCGAGCUUUCACUUCUGCGAGGUUGUGUGUUCUUCUACGGGAUUCUCUCCCCGGCGAUUCUCUGGCCGCUUCUCCUCCCUCCGUAUAUCUAUUGAGUCGAGUGAUGGAUGCCACAGGCGAUUUGUGUUCUUGCUUCCUAUCUUCAGUCCCUGCAUGUAUCGAUCAAAAUUGAGGAGUUUCUAUCAGGCUGUCUGCUCCUGCUGCUGCAGAAACGAGUGUAAGGUAAAUUUCUCCAUCAAAUACGUAUCUCUGUUUGAUAAAAUGCCCACAUGUAUCCUGUAUUUCAGGUAGACAAGUAGCAUCAGCCACUAGGCAUCAUGAUUCACUUUUGAGUUUCCAUUUUUAUGGUGAUCUUCUGCAAACGACUUUUGAAAUAUAGUUGUCCAAAGAUGCAGCCUAUGGAUACAUGUUAAGACAUUAAGGUAACAAGUGAUAUGAGCAAUGUUUGUCUCCCUAAAUCAGUAUUCAUGCAUCGUUCUAGGGUGGGGGAUAUUUGCCAAUAAUUUCUUUGUAACAUAAAACCUCAGGAUUAUUAGUUUUAGCCUGUAUUUUCCUAACAUUGCUACUAAUAUUGGAUGCAAGAUAUAGUAUGAUUCAACACGUCAAAUUUGAGUCAAUUCAUGGUAUUUAUUUGGUUUCCACUAACCCUGUUCAUGGUAUAUAAAUCAAAUUUACAACUUUGCUGUAGCUAUAAUUUGUUGUGUUUAUAAAUUUAUAUUGCAGUUCAUUCCUAUUCCUAUUGUCUACUAUCAUUGUAGCAGCAGCUAUGGGCUAUCACUGAGGUCAGUCUCCAUAACAUUCCCAUCCAAAGCAGCGGCUUAUCUGGUUUCUCCAUAUGAGUUCUCUAUCAAGAAAAUAUCCCAAUAUAUUUGGUACCACAUAUUCGUUCAUGGUCACCGACUUUCCAGAUAUUAUAAUACAACCAUCCUAUGAUAUCUUCUUUGUAAGAGGGAUCAGUAAAUUACUUAGACUGCUGCUAAAAACAGACAAGUAUGAACGUUUAAAAAGGAGGCUAAUAAGCAGUUCCAUUCUUGAUGAACUUUCUGUACGUUAA